rnacentral:tRNA from 1 species
GCAGGGGUCGCCUAGCUCGGCAAUGGCGCCAGCUUGAGGUGCUGGUAGGUUAGUCCUUUCGUGGGUUCAAAUCCCACCCCCUGCA